rnacentral:rRNA from 1 species
ACGGAGGUGGCAAGCGUUGUUCGGAAUUACUGGGCGUAAAGGGCGCGUAGGCGGUUUUGCAAGUCAGAUGUGAAAGCCCCGAGCUUAACUCGGGAAUUGCAUCUGAAACUGCUUAACUUGAGUUCUGGAUGGGGUAGUGGAAUUCCCAGUGUAGCGGUGAAAUGCGUAGAUAUUGGGAGGAACACCUGAGGCGAAGGCGGCUACCUGGACAGUGACUGACGCUGAGGCGCGAAAGCUAGGGGAGCGAACGG